UGUCCAGGCAAAUCCGGAUAAUCAAGGCUGAGGUGUGAUGACGAGGCACUACGGUGCUGAAGUAACAAAUGCCCUGCUUCCAGGAAAAGCCUCUAAGCAUCAGGUAACAUUAAAUCGUACCCCAAACCGACACAGGUGGUCAGGUAGAGAAUACCAAGGCGCUUGAGAGAACUCGGGUGAAGGAACUAGGCAAAAUGGUGCCGUAACUUCGGGAGAAGGCAC
rnacentral:rRNA from 1 species